GCUCCAUUGGGGGAGUCUGGCCGUCCCCGCCGCCCUGUCAAGGCGGAGAUGCACGAGUUCGAAUCUCGUAUGGAGCGCC
rnacentral:tRNA from 1 species